GAUGAACGCUGCGGCGUGCGUAACACAUGCAAGUUGUACGACGGUGCCAUGAAGUGGUAACACGGAAUGGUAUACGGAGUAGCGGACGGGUGAGUAAAGCAUGAGGAGCUGUCCUGUUGAGGGGGAUAACGUUCGGAAACGGACCCUAAUACCCCAUAGGCCGAGAGGUUAAAGGCAGAGAUGCGCGACAGGAGGUACUCGUGUCCUAUCAGCUGGUUGGUGAGGUAACGGCUCACCAAGGCAACGACGGGUAGCCGGCCUGAGAGGGUGACCGGCCACACUGGAACUGAGACACGGUCCAGACUCCUACGGGAGGCAGCAGUGGGGAAUAUUGGGCAAUGGGAGAAAUCCUGACCCAGCGACGCCGCGUGAACGAAGACGGCCUUCGGGUUGUAAAGUUCUUUUAUGUGGGGAGAAGGAAGUGACGGUACCACAUGAAUAAGCCCGGC
rnacentral:rRNA from 1 species